AUCAGAGCAGAAAGGGUCAGAAGACCUUGGAUUUGAGUCCUAGCUCCACCAUUUACCAGCUAUGUGCUCUUGAGCAAGUGGCUUCACCUGUCUGAGCAUCUGCUUCCCCGUGUGUAACACGGGUCCCUAAAAGUAUCCAUUUCCGAGGGUAUUGUAAAAGAUAAUGAGAUAAUGCAUGGAAAGCUCUUAGCCCCUUGCCUGGCUAUUCCCCACAGCCACUCUUACUGCUGUUGAGAUGAAGACUGAUGAUGACUGAAAUAACGAGAGAGCAUAACUCCAGGUUCUGAUCAUCCCUGAGCCUAUGAUAAACGCAGUAGCACAACUAAUGGCUUGACCGGCUGCAUUUCAUUUCUUCCCCUGCAUUUCCCCAUACCACCUGGAGGGGGCGGUAAUGAGUCACCAACCUGUGACCUAAGCAAUGAACGUUCGGAAGAUUCAGAAAAAGUCCUCUGCUGAACCUCUUUCUACGGGUUUCAAAUCACGAAUCCUGCCAUUGGAUUUCUUUCCUGUGCCCAUCCCCAACCUGGCCCCUGCCAACGUUUUUAAAAAGCUGGUUUUAUUUUUAAGCAAUCUCUACACCCAAUGUGGGGCUCAACCUCGCAACCCCGAGGUCAAGAGUCGCACGCUCUACCGACUAAACCAGCCGGGCACCCGAGUAUAUACCUGUAUUGAUACGGGCAACAAAUGUUUAUUGAGCACCUAGUAUGGUCCUGCCGCUGUGUUUUCCACAAGGGAAGGCAGGUAUUGAACUUUCAGUGCCUAGGAGAAGGCAGAUAUGGAACAACGAAUUACACAGAUAGUACGAUUUGCAUUUUAACCAGAGUCAAAACACCGUGACUCCAAGGAGAGUGUAAUGAAGGAAUUUAGGGCACAGAGCGAGCCCAGGAGGCCCUGGAGCCCAUUGUCUGCCUUCUCUAGGGCCAUAUUGCCCCGAGAUCCGGUUGACCUUGAAAAGCUUUCAUGCGGAUUAAAUCAACAACCUCAGAAGUGGUGUUCAGCUCUGAAACUCAGUUUCCUCACCUGCCAGGUGAGGAUAAUCGAGCCAGCACAGUUUCCUGGAUCCGUUGGGGACGGCUCUGCGGGUUGGGUUUAACCAUCUCCCUUGUCUUUUAUCCUGGGACCGGUGCUCACCUAAGACAUGCUCCUCUGAAGGCAGGGUACAGAAAUUUCAAGAGAGGCGAGUGAAAACUCAGGCCCCGCCUAAGGCUUGCGCUCAGAACUGGCCCACAGUUAUCUCAAAAUAUCCCAUCGGCCAAAGCAAGUCACACGGCCCAGCCCAGUAGCACGGGUGGAGAAAGGCGGAAGAAUUGGGUCACUCCCACAGCUGCCAGGAUUCCUAGCGUGGCUGCUGGCCAUGUGAUUCCACCACCUACCCAACAUUGCCUUCCGUGUUUCGCACAGAAGGCUGUCUCCAAUCACAGAGCAUCUUAGAGAUUGGGGACUGCCCAUAGGACACUGUAUGUUUUGUAUCAGUGGGGUUCUGACGAGGUAGUCUCUAGCUGAAUUUCCGGACCAAGAUUAAUUUGCUGCUGGAAUGUGAAGACGGCCACCCUCACACCCCCACCGCGGGUCCAGCGUGAGGGAAAAUAAGGAGACAGCCCCCGUGUUGGAUAAUAACCGCCCAAAUUCCAAUACUCAGGGCCCGACAUUGCCCGUUCAGUUUCCUCUGGCUGAAAUUCUUGGUUGUUCCGCUGCUAAAACCAGGGUGGCUAGUUACUCUGGGCACCAAUGGCUGUUCUUAGCCAUAUUGAUAAACAAGGCUUCCAAAAUCAUCUCAAUGCCAGGAACAGUUCAUUUAAAACAGAAGCAGCAACACCACCAAUGACAAAAUCGACAGGUCAGUCCUGUGGUGUCCACCCUCGCCCAGGGGAGCCUGGUGAUGAGUUGAGGAGUAUUUUCGGACACAGACAACAGCAGGCCUGGCCCAGAUCCACUCAUUCCUUCAGUAGCGCUUCCCAGGGAGUUCCAGCUAUUUCCCAAUUUGUUCCAGCCACACCACCUUUUGUGGCUUCGUUUGGGCAUUGAGGUCAUCGAGAGAUGACUGACUUGGGCAAAGCAGAGAGUAGGGGGAGGAAAGAGUCUUCACUUACUCACCCACUCACUAACUGCUGAGUGUCUUCAGGGCCCUGAGCUGGGGGUUCAAAGCGGAAGGAAGCAGAAUGUCCUUUGGCGUUUGGCACGGCAGAUCCUCCUUCCACGUAUCUUUCUUAGGGUAGGUGGUUGGCUUCCCAUCAGCCCCUGCGCGGCAGAUGAUUGGUUCAAGCUAAUCCGGCCGUACGAUUCUCUUGCGGAUAAUUGGUUGAGGAGUUAGCAUGUGACCCAGUUCUGCCCAAUGAGAAGUGAGGGAGAAAUCUGUCCGUGGCCUUUGAGAAACUUUCCCUCCCGACUAAGAAGGAGCUGGAGGAAGGGGUGGGUGCUGCUCCCCAGCGUUUGCAGUACGUGUAGGUGUGACAGCCGCACUUUUGACAGCCAUCUUGCCACGUGCUGCAAGGACACAGAGAGACAGAGCAUGAGCACGGGAGGAGCAGAGAGAGAGGCAGACAGAAUCCGAAG